rnacentral:lncRNA from 1 species
AUAGUAUUCGUUCUUCCUUUCCAAUCUGGACACAUUUAUUCAUUUUUCCUACUUAAUUGUCUUGACUAUAUCCUGUAGCAAAAUUUGAAUAGUAGUGAAAAUUGUUAAUAUGUUUGUCUUGUUCCUGAUUUUAGGAGGAAUCCUUCAGUUUCACUUUUAAGUGUAAUGUUAGCUGUGGGUUUUGCAAAGAUGUAAUUUAUCAUGUUUAGAAGGUUCCUUUCUAGUCAUUGUUUGUUGAGUGUUUUUGUCAUAAAGUGAUGUUAGAUUUUGUCAGAUGUUUUUUCUGCGUUUACUGAGAUGACUGUGUGUUUUUUCAAAAAACUUUAUUCUAAUAAUAUGGUGUAUUACAUUGAUUGAUUUUUAUAUGUCAAACCAAACUUGUAUUCCUGUGAUAAAUCCCACUUAGACAUGGUAUUUGAUCCUUUUUAUAUGAUGCUUGUUUCGGUAUGCCAGUAUUUUGUUGAGAAUUUAGGGUUCGUAUUCAUAAGGAGUAUUGGCCUAUAUUAUUCUUUUUUUAUGAUAUUAUGGUCUGAUUUCGCUAUCUGGGUAAGACUGGCUUCAAAAAAAAGGCAAGAAAUGUUCCCUUCUCUCCUAUUUUUUGGAAGGGUUUGGUGUUAAUUCUUUAAAUAUUUGUUAGAAUUCAUCAGUGAAGCCCUCGGGUCCUGGGAUUUUCUCUGUGCUAAGUUUUCUGAUUACUAAAACAAUAUCUUUACAUGGGGUAAAUCUAAUCUAAUCCGAUACUUUUUUUCAUUUUUGUAGUUACGUCUUUCUAGAAAUUUGUUCAUUUUAUGCAUUUAAAGACAUAAAUUCCCCAUUUGAGCACUGUUUGUCCUAAAUCCCCUAAAUUUGGGUAUGUUGAAUUUUUAUUUUCAUUUAUCUUAUUUUCUAAUUCCCAUUUUGAUUUUUUGACCCAAUGGUUAUAUAGGAAUGCAUCGUUCAAUUUCCAUAUAUUUGUGAAUUUCCAAAAUAUUCUUCUGCUAUUUUUAAUUUCAGUUCAUUAUACUUGUAGAAAAUACUUUGUAAGAUUUUAAUCAUUUUAAGUUUUUUGAGGCUUGUUUUAGGGCUUUGCGUAUUAUCUGUACUGCAGAAUGUUCCAUAUGCACGUAAGAAUGUAUAGAUUGCUGCUCUUCAGUGAAGUGCUUUCUAGAUAUCUAUUAGGUCUAGUUGGUUUAUGCAUUGUUCAAGUAUUUUAUUCUCUUGCUGAUAAUGCGUAGUUGUUCUAUUCAUUUACAAUGGGGCAUAAUAGUAAUCAACUAUUACUAUUGAUGUGUUUAUUUCAAUUCUUUCAGCUUUUUAUCAUGUAUUUUGGGGCCCUAAUGUGAGGUGCAUGUAGGUUUAUAAUUGUUAUAUCUUCUUGGUGGAAUGGCCUUUUAUGAUUACACAGUGUUUUUUUUGUUGUUGUUUCUAGUAACCAUUUUUGUAUUACUACUUUGUCUGAUAUUAAAAUAGCCAAUUCAAUUCUCUUUGGCUUACCAAUUUCAUGGCAUAUAGAUUCUUUUUUCUUUUUUUUGGCCUAUUUGGUCUUUGGAUCUAAAAUGUUGGCUCUUAUAUAAAGCAUAUAAUUGGAUCAUGUGUACUUUUUUCCAAGUCUGUCAAUCUCUGCCUUUUCAUCAAAGAAUUUAAUAAAUUUGAUUCAUUAACUGAUA